UAAGACGUAGGGUCCAAGCGUUGUCCGGAUUUACUGGGCGUAAAGAGCGCGUAGGCGGCUCGUUAAGUGUGAAGCUAAAUCUCUGGGCUCAACCCGGAAACUAUUUCGCAUACUGGCGAGCUGGAGUGAUGAAGAGGUUUGUGGAAUUCCUGGUGUAGCGGUGAAAUGCGUUGAUAUCAGGAGGAACACCCAUGGCGAAGGCAGCAAACUGGUCAUCAACUGACGCUGAGGCGCGAAAGCGUGGGUAGCAAACAGGAUUAGAUACCCUGGUAGUCCACGCCCUAAACGAUGGAUACUAGGCGUAAGAGGUAUCGACCCCUCUUGUGCCGCAGCUAACGCAUUAAGUAUCCCGCCUGGGGAGUACGGCCGCAAGGUUG
rnacentral:rRNA from 1 species